CAGUAGCCGCGGUAAUACGAAGGGUGCAAGCGUUAAUCGGAAUUACUGGGCGUAAAGCGCGCGUAGGUGGUUUGGUAAGAUGGAUGUGAAAUCCCCGGGCUCAACCUGGGAACUGCAUCCAUAACUGCCUGACUAGAGUACGGUAGAGGGUGGUGGAAUUUCCUGUGUAGCGGUGAAAUGCGUAGAUAUAGGAAGGAACACCAGUGGCGAAGGCGACCACCUGGACUGAUACUGACACUGAGGUGCGAAAGCGUGGGGAGCAAACAGGAUUAGAGACCCGUGUAGUCCCUGUCUCUUAUAC
rnacentral:rRNA from 1 species